UAUUGUAUUUGAUUUGAGAUCAAAAAAAUAUAAUAUAUAUUUCAUGGGUUCGAAUCCCAUUUUCUCUU
rnacentral:tRNA from 1 species